rnacentral:rRNA from 1 species
UUGUCUCAAAGAUUAAGCCAUGCAUGUCUCAGUACAAGCCAAAUUAAGGUGAAACCGCGAAAGGCUCAUUAAAUCAGUUAUGGUUCCUUAGAUCGUACCCACAUUUACUUGGAUAACUGUGGUAAUUCUAGAGCUAAUACAUGAAAACAGAGCUCCAACCGGAGACGGAAGGAGUGCUUUUAUUAGAUCAAAACCAAUCGGUGGCGGGUUCACGCCUGUCAUCGUACAAUUUGGUGAAUCUGAAUAACUUUUAGCUGAUCGCAUGGUCUUGCACCGGCGACGCAUCUUUCAAAUGUCUGCCUUAUCAACUGUCGAUGGUAGGUUCUGCGCCUACCAUGGUUGUAACGGGUAACGGGGAAUCAGGGUUCGAUUCCGGAGAGGGAGCCUGAGAAACGGCUACCACAUCCAAGGAAGGCAGCAGGCGCGCAAAUUACCCACUCCCGGCACGGGGAGGUAGUGACGAAAAAUAACGAUACGGGACUCAUCCGAGGCCCCGUAAUCGGAAUGAGUACACUCUAAACCCUUUAACGAGGAUCAAUUGGAGGGCAAGUCUGGUGCCAGCAGCCGCGGUAAUUCCAGCUCCAAUAGCGUAUAUUAAAGUUGUUGCGGUUAAAAAGCUCGUAGUCGAAUUUGUGUCUUGCGCCGUUGGUUCAUCGUUCGCGGUGUUAACUAGCGUGUCGUAGGACGUCCUGCCGGUGGGUUUAGCCUUUUCUUUACGCAAGUGGGAAGGGGCGACCCAAUUCAAUCCUGCUGUGGUGCUCUUCAUUGAGUGUCUUAGUGGGCCGGCACGUUUACUUUGAACAAAUUAGAGUGCUUAAAGCAGGCUAAAAUUUUGCCUGAAUAUUGUGUGCAUGGAAUAAUGGAAUAGGACCUCGGUUCUAUUUUGUUGGUUUUCGGAACUCCGAGGUAAUGAUUAAUAGGAACGGAUGGGGGCAUUCGUAUUGCGACGUUAGAGGUGAAAUUCUUGGAUCGUCGCAGACGA